AUGGAGUAAUGAUAGUGAUGAUGAAAAUGCAUAAGUGAUUAUAAAACUUAGUUCUCAUUGCUCCUCACAUUGCUAUUUCUCUUCUUCUUUGAUUUUUGCUUUGGGAGAACAUGGGCUAUCUUUUUCUCUCUCUUUUUUUUCAGGUGGGUAGUAGAUACCCCUAAUUCUACUAUCGGACACUUGUCCAUUUUUUCCGCUCAAGUGGGCAUUUUUAUACCCCUAAUUCUACUUCGGACACUUGUCCAUUUUUACCUCUCGUCUCACUCUUUUUCUUUCUUUUUCGAGGUUCCGGGCACUUGCCCCUUUUUAUUUCCUCGCAUAUUUUUGCAUAACCCAUGCCUCUUCUGCAUUGAAUCUUUUUAGAGAGAGAGAGAAUAACAAUAUUCGGGACAGUGAGUGAUAAUAUUUUUAGCAAUUUUAAUGAUUGAUGAUGAAUGCUGUGGUAGAUGUGUGCAAGUGAAUAUCUUAAUUUAACCACAUGAAAAGCUUCUCAGGGUCUACACAGCUCGAUCAAACUCAAUGUAAAUAUAGUAAAAAAAAUGUUAUAGCAAGUAUGGCUGUGGUAGGUAGUUUGUAAAUUUUCAAAAUAAAUCUCUAGAACUUAGUGUAGUAGGAACA
rnacentral:lncRNA from 1 species